AAAGGGUGGGGACCUUCGGGCCUGCCGGCUCGAGAGCGGCCCAUGUCCUAUCAGCUUGUUGGUGGGGUAACGGCCUACCAAGGCUACGACGGGUACCGGGACUGAGAGGUUGACCCGGCGCAUCGGGACUGAGACACUGCCCGGGCUCCUACGGGAGGCUGCAGUAACGAAUAUUGGGCAAUGGGCGAAAGCCUGACCCAGCGACGCCGCGUGUGGGAAGAAUGCCUUCGGGUUGUAAACCACUGUCAGGGAUUACCAACCAACCGGUGUGAAUAGCGCCGGGAGUUGAGGAGUCCCAGAGGAAGUCACGGCUAACUUCGUGCCAGCAGCCGCGGUAAUACGAAGGUGGCUAGCGUUGUUCGGAAUCACUGGGCUUAAAGAGCACGUAGGCGGAUGAUCAAGCGUCUUGUGAAAGCCCUCGGCUCAACCGGGGAAUUGCUUGGCGAACUGAUCAUCUUGAGGCAGGUAGGGGCGAGUGGAACUCUUGGUGGAGCGGUGGAAUGCUUAGAUAUCAAGAGGAACGCCAGAGGCGAAGGCGACUCGCUGGGCCUGACCUGACGCUGAGGUGCGAAAGCCAGGGGAGCGAACGGGAUUAGAUACCCCGGUAGUCCUGGCCCUAAACGAUGUCCACUAGGUCGGUGAGGUUCUAAUGCUUUGCUGGCCGAAACAAAAGCGUUAAGUGGACCGCCUGGGGAGUACGGUCGCAAGGCUAAAACUCAAAGGAAUUGACGGGGGCUCACACAAGCGGUGGAGCAUGUUGCUUAAUUCGAUGCAACGCGAAGAACCUUAUCCUGGGCUUGACAUACACGGAUGCCCUCCUGGAAACAGGUCGGGUUGCCCUUCGGGGUGAAACGUACACAGGUGCUGCAUGGCUGUCGUCAGCUCGUGUCGUGAGAUGUUGGGUUAAGUCCCGUAACGAGCGAAACCCUUGUCGCUAGUUGCCAGCGCGUAAUGGCGGGGACUCUAGCGAGACUGCCGGUGUUAAACCGGAGGAAGGUGGGGAUGACGUCAAGUCCUCAUGGCCUUUAUGCCCAGGGCUGCAAACGUGCUACAAUGGUAGGGACAGAGCGACGCAAGACCGUGAGGUGGAGCAAAUCGCAAAAACCCUGCCCCAGUUCGGAUCGGAGUCUGCAACUCGACUCC
rnacentral:rRNA from 1 species